rnacentral:rRNA from 1 species
GAAACGACUGCUAAGACUGGAUAGGAGACAAGAAGGCAUCUUCUUGUUUUUAAAAGACCUAGCAAUAGGUAUGCUUAGGGAGGAGCUUGCGUCACAUUAGUUAGUUGGUGGGGUAAAGGCCUACCAAGACUAUGAUGUGUAGCCGGGCUGAGAGGUUGAACGGCCACAUUGGGACUGAGACACGGCCCAAACUCCUACGGGAGGCAGCAGUAGGGAAUUUUCGGCAAUGGAGGAAACUCUGACCGAGCAACGCCGCGUGAACGAUGAAGUAUUUCGGUACGUAAAGUUCUUUUAUUAGGGAAGGAAUAAAUGAUGGAAAAAUCAUUGCUGACGGUACCUAAUGAAUAAGCCCCGGCUAACUAUGUGCCAGCAGCCGCGGUAAUACAUAGGGGGCAAGCGUUAUCCGGAAUUAUUGGGCGUAAAGGGUGCGUAGGCGGUUAAAUAAGUUUAUGGUCUAAGUGCAAUGCUCAACAUUGUGAUGCUAUAAAAACUGUUUAGCUAGAGUAAGAUAGAGGCAAGCGGAAUUCCAUGUGUAGUGGUAAAAUGCGUAAAUAUAUGGAGGAACACCAGUAGCGAAGGCGGCUUGCUGGGUCUUUACUGACGCUGAGGCACGAAAGCGUGGGGAGCAAACAGGAUUAGAUACCCUGGUAGUCCACGCCGUAAACGAUGAGUACUAAACGUUGGGUAAAACCAGUGUUGAAGUUAACACAUUAAGUACUCCGCCUGAGUAGUACGUACGCAAGAUAUGAAACUUAAAGGAAUUGACGGGACUCCGCACAAGCGGUGGAUCAUGUUGUUUAAUUCGAAGGUACCCGAAAAACCUCACCAGGUCUUGACAUGCUUCUGCAAAGCUGUAGAAACACAGUGGAAGGUUAUCAGUUGCACAGGUGGUGCAUGGUUGUCGUCAGCUCGUGUCGUGAGAUGUUGGGUUAAGUCCCGCAACGAGCGCAACCCUUAUUGUUAGUUACCAGCACGUAAUGGUGGGGGACUUUAGCAAGACUGCCAGUGAUAAAUUGGGAGGAAGGUGGGGACGACGUCAAAUCAUCAUGCCCCUUAUGACCUGGGCUACAAAAACGUGAUACAAUGGCUGUUACAAAGGGUAGCUGAAGCGCAAGUUUUUGGCGAAUCUCAAAAAAACAGUCUCAGUUCGGAUUGAAGUCUGCAACUCGACUUCAUGAAGUUGGAAUCGCUAGUAAUCGCGAAUCCAGCAUGUCGCGGUGAAUACGUUCUCGGGGUUGGUACACCCCGCCCGCCA